UACGAAGGGUGCAAACGUUGCUCGGAAUUACUGGGCGUAAAGGGCGCGUAGGCGGCCCGCUAAGUCGAACGUGAAAUCCCCGAGCUCAACUCGGGAACUGCGUCCGAUACUGGAAGGCUUGAAUCCGGGAGAGGGAUGCGGAAUUCCAGGUGUAGCGGUGAAAUGCGUAGAUAUCUGGAGGAACACCGGUGGCGAAGGCGGCAUCCUGGACCGGUAUUGACGCUGAGGCGCGAAAGCGUGGGGAGCGAACAGG
rnacentral:rRNA from 1 species